rnacentral:rRNA from 1 species
AGCUCCAAUAGCGUAUAUUAAAGUUGUUGCGGUUAAAAGCUCGUAGUUGGAUUUCUGUUGAAGAGGGGCGGUCCGCACUAUGUGCGUGUAUCUGCUUCCGCUUUGGCAUCCUCUUGGGGUACGUAACUGUGCUUGAUUGCAUGGUGCGGAAUUCAAGACUUUUACUUUGAGGAAAUUAGAGUGUUCACGGCAGGCAAGCGCCUUGAAUACAUUAGCAUGGAAUAAUAAUAUAGGGCCUCGGUUCUAUUUUGUUGGUUUCUAGAACUGGGGUAAUGAUUAAUAGGGAUAAUUGGGGGGCAUUUGUAUUAACGCGUCAGAGGUGGAAUUCUUGGAUUGCGUUACGACAAACUACUGCGAAAGCAUUUGCCAAGGAUGUUUCA